GGGCCUACUGCCUCCCUCACCUGAAGCUGAUUGAGGCAAUCAUGUUGGAGAUUUAAGCUGCUUGCUGACACUGCUUCCUCGCCAGUUCGUCAACUACCCUAUGUUGGUAACCAGGCCUCACACUUCAUGUCUAUGAUUCUCAAGUGCUCUACUAACCUUGCAAUCUUGUGUUCUAGUUACUCCUGAAAAUUCCAUCACACUGAACAACUCAUCUGGGAAAUCUGGUUAACCCGCCUGCUUUCAGAAUCAUCUCUUUGCCUCACCUGCCUGCCCUCCUGCCCUCAUACUACCAUGGGAUCUUCACUGCUCAGGACAGCUGUCACACACCACCAAACCCACCUGGACCGCACCACCUCUCCUUCAACGCUUCCAUCUCCCACCUGCACAUACGUACCUAAUCACCAGCCAGCUGCCAUUGCUUUCUUGGACCUGUCCCCUUGCUUAUCCCUCUCCCCUGGCCAAGACCCUCACGCCCCAUGUGUCAAGCCUUAAGUCAAGUACUAUCGUAAACAUCAUUUUUUUUGUGCUAGUCAAUAAACCUUUGUUAAACCCUUUCCUCAGCCUCUGCUUUGGGUUUUCUGCACGUGGGUUUGAUUUUUGGUACUCAGCCUCCGGCUGUUUUGUGACACACUUUUACCUUUGCAGUGCAACCCUCCGAAAUGUUCAGUGUGGUGUUUCAUUUUUUUGGUAUGAAUCUGAAAAGUCAUAGCUUACACUAAGCUUUCUCUGCUCAUGAAUUCC
ensembl:lncRNA